rnacentral:tRNA from 1 species
GUGGGCUCCGGGUCGGUCGGCUCCGGGUCGGUCGGCUCCGGGUCGGUCGGGUCCGUCGGGCCCGGGUCCGUGGGCUCGGGGUCCGUCGGCUCGUC